UACGGAGGGAGCUAGCGUUAUUCGGAAUUACUGGGCGUAAAGCGUACGUAGGCGGCUUUGUAAGUAAGAGGUGAAAGCCCGGAGCUCAACUCCGGAACUGCCUUUUAGACUGCAUCGCUUGAAUCCAGGAGAGGUGAGUGGAAUUCCGAGUGUAGAGGUGAAAUUCGUAGAUAUUCGCAAGAACACCAGUGGCGAAGGCGGCCAACUGGCCCGAUACUGACGCUGAGGCGCGAAAAGCGUGGGGAGCAAACAGG
rnacentral:rRNA from 1 species